AAGAGAGAGAUACGAGAGGAAAGUGAGGUCCUUGUUUGCCUCAUCAUCCCAUCCCAUCCCAUGCUCCUGAAAGCAAGAAAAAGAGAAGGAAGGAAGCAACAGAGAGACCUCAAGAGAGAAAGAGAGAGAGAGAGAGGGAGAGAGCUUGGUUCUCAAA